UCGGCGCUGAAAUGGGAACUUACGCUUGGAGGAGCAAUCUCACCAGCUGGGAAGCUGCAAAGCAUCAUUUCAUUGGUGAAGAGCAUCCACAAAGACUGCGGUUCUCCGAGCAUCACCUGCCUACAUGGACACCAGGGAAAGACGAUUCUGAGAACUGUGGACAGCCCCUGCUGCCAUACAACAGCACCUGGUGGUAGAGAGACAGGGACUAAAGAGGAGCAGACUGUGAAUGUAGGGAGCAAGCAGAUGGAGAAGAACAGCACCAAACAAGGACUCCAUCCUGCCACUCCUCAACAAAAGGUCUUCCAUUGCAAACCUGCCACCAAAAAGACACAGAACGAGUUGCACUGUAUUGACCUGCUGAGCACAUCACUGUCAACAUGGGCACGAGUACUGCAGGCACCCUUUGAAUGGUGCCUUUGUUUCCUCUCUGAGCAUCCUUCUACCCACUGCCAUGAUCUCAGUGAGCCCAGCAGGAGCUUCCUGGCAGCAGCUGAACUGCUGCAAAGUGUCCUGGUGAGUGUUUGCAGGACCCAGGCAGCAGCACGGACCAAUUCUCCCAGCCCCACUGAGGGUGUGAAGUGGCCUGUGGCACCAGCGGGACAUGGAGCCUGGGGACCUCACCUGUACUUCGAUGCACUCAAUGGGAGAGUGACACAACAAAAUGGGGAGGGACUGGGGAUUUCCUAACAGAAGCCAGCUGGUGGCUGGAUGGAGGUCUUAGGUACAUUUUACCUGAUCUCAACAAGUUCUCAUGCACUUUCUAUUGGCACUUACUGAUGUACUCAGGAGGUUUAAGUUCAAAGAACUACUGAAGCUGAGGACAGAUAUGAAAAGAUGCAGUGUUUCAGCUGUCAGACCGGAGGCUCAGUGCAGAAACAAGCCUCCCUGCUAACUCCAAGUACAAAUCUCAGGUGAGAGGGGAUGAAGAGAUCUAUGUCUCCCUCCUCAUUCCCAACAGUAUUCAGUGUACCAUAAAGACAUCUGUGGGGUAGAACCACAUCUAACACCUACCAGAUAGGUUGUUCCACACUUUCCAUUGCAGGCAUCAGUUUCCCGUAAUUUAAAACUUUACCCAGCUUCAUUCCAGUUCCAUUUUGAUUUCCCAUCCCAGAGCUCCUGUCUCAGAGACACGGAACAAGGAAUCCUUGCACCAAGGGAUGGCAUCAGACCCAUUGAGCUGUGCCCUGGGGUUGCAAAGCUCUGCAAGGCCCAUGAGAGCCUGUUGUGCAUUGCACUGUUUUGGAGGAACUGUUUUGGUGUCACCUUUCUGGUUUUAUUUCAUUGUGUUGGUUCUUUAUCCUUUGUUAAAGUUGCUGCUUUCCCUUUCAAA